rnacentral:rRNA from 1 species
CCCGCACAAGCGGCGGAGCAUGUGGAUUAAUUCGAUGCAACGCGAAGAACCUUACCUGGGCUUGACAUACACCAGAUCGGCGCAGAGAUGCGUUUUCCCUUGUGGUUGGUGUACAGGUGGUGCAUGGUUGUCGUCAGCUCGUGUCGUGAGAUGUUGGGUUAAGUCCCGCAACGAGCGCAACCCUUGUCUUAUGUUGCCAGCACGUGAUGGUGGGGACUCAUGAGAGACUGCCGGGGUUAACUCGGAGGAAGGUGGGGAUGACGUCAAAUCAUCAUGCCCCUUAUGUCCAGGGCUUCACACAUGCUACAAUGGUCGGUACAACGCGUGUGCGACACUGUGAGGUGAAGCUAAUCGCUCUAAAGCCGGUCGUAGUUCGGAUUGGGGUCUGCAACUCGACCCCAUGAAGUCGGAGUCGCUAGUAAUCGCAGAUCAGCAACGCUGCGGUGAAUACGUUCCCGGGCCUU